CCAGCCAUAAACCCUGAUAGCAAACAAACCAACUAUCCGCCAGAGAACUACCAGCAAAAAGCUUAAAACUCAAAGGACUUGACGGUGUCCCACAUCAGCCUAGAGGAGCCUGUCCUAUAAUCGACAACCCACGCUCCACCCAACCUGCCCUCGCACCCCCAGCCUAUAUACCGCCGUCCUCGGCCUACCUAGUGAUAGACACCCAGUAGGCAAAAUAGCCCACACUAAAACAUCAGGUCAAGGUGUAGCUAAUGGGCAGGCAGAGAUGGGCUACAUUUUCUAACCACAAGAAAAUUAACCCCCGCGCCAUGAAACCCCCGCAACAAGGCGGAUUUAGCAGUAAGCUUAGCAAGCAAGCCAAGCUGAAACCCUGCUCUGGGACGC
rnacentral:rRNA from 1 species